AUUGAACGCUGGCGGCAAGCCUAACACAUGCAAGUCGAACGAGUGGCGGACGGGUGAGUAAUGUAUGGGAAACUGCCUGAUGGAGGGGGAUAACUACUGGAAACGGUAGCUAAUACCGCAUACCAUCGGAUGAGCCCAUAUGGGAUUAGCUAGUAGGUGGGGUAAAGGCUAACCGAGGCCACGAGCCCUAGCUGGUCUGAGAGGAUGACAAGCCACACUGGAACUGAGACACGGUCCAGAGUCCUACGGGAGGCAGCAGGGGGGAAUAUGGCACAAUGGGCGCAAGCUUGAUGCAGCCAUGCCGCGUGUAUGAAGAAGGCCUUAGGGUUGUAAAGUACUUUCAGCGGGGAGGCGUUACCCGCAGAAGAAGCACCGGCUAACUCCGUGCCAGCAGCCGCGGUAAUAC
rnacentral:rRNA from 1 species